AUCAAGUUUGCCCUUACAAAUGUAAAUAAUGGCCCUGGAAACAUUGCCUCCUAAUGGAAAAGUUCAUUUCUGACCCUGGUUGAGAACCACUGAUCUAGAGUAAUGGUAGUCUAUAGUUGUGAAGCUGUGUCUUUCAUAAUGUUGUGUCUGAAACUGUAGGAAAAUCGAAAAAUAUCUACAUGACUUGGAAGGGGAAACUUUCCAGAGUGACACUAAUGAUAAUGAUGUUUCGCACUCACCAAAGGGGACUGAAGAAACCACCCCCACAGAUACAGGCCCCCAGGACAAUAUACUGUUACAACAAAAAACCACAAAAGAGUCACCAUCCAUAGAAAAACAGG